UACGAAGGGGGCUAGCGUGGCUCGGAAUCACUGGGCGUAAAGGGUGCGUAGGCGGGUCUUUAAGUCAGGGGGGAAAUCCUGGAGCUCAACUCCAGAACUGCCUUUGAUACUGAGGAUCUUGAGUUCGGGAGAGGUGAGUGGAACUGCGAGUGUAGAGGUGAAAUUCGUAGAUAUUCGGAAGAACACCAGUGGCGAAGGCGACUCACUGGACACGUAUUGACGCUGAGGUGCGAAAGCGUGGGGAGCAAACAGG
rnacentral:rRNA from 1 species